rnacentral:rRNA from 1 species
GACUACAGGGGUAUCUAAUCCUGUUUGCUCCCCACGCUUUCGUUCCUCAGUGUCAGUUAUUGUCCAGUAAGCUGCCUUCGCUAUCGGUGUUCUACCAGAUAUCUACGCAUUCCACCGCUACACCUGGUAUUCCGCUUACCUCUCCAAUACUCAAGUUCACCAGUCUCCAACGCAGUUCCGUGGUUGAGCCACGGGAUUUCACGUCAGACUUAGCAAACCACCUACGAACCCUUUACGCCCAAUAAAUCCGAACAACGCUCGCCACCUACGUAUUACCGCGGCUGCUGGCACGUAGUUAGCCGUGGCUUCCUCCCUCGGUACCGUCAUUUUUCGUCCCGAGUGACAGCCGUUUACAAUCCGAAGACCUUCAUCCGGCACGCGGCAUUGCUUUGUCACGCUUUCGCGCAUUGCAAAAGAUUCUCGACUGCAGCCCCCCGUAGG